rnacentral:rRNA from 1 species
UAGUACGAGAGGACCGGAGUGGACGCAUCACUGGUGUUCGGGUUGUCAUGCCAAUGGCACUGCCCGGUAGCUAAAUGCGGAAGAGAUAAGUGCUGAAAGCAUCUAAGCACGAAACUUGCCCCGAGAUGAGUUCUCCCUGAGACUUUAAGUCUCCUGAAGGAACGUUGAAGACGACGACGUUGAUAGGCCGGGUGUGUAAGCGCAGCGAUGCGUUGAGCUAACCGGUACUAAUGAACCGUGAGGCUUAACCUUACAACGCCGAAG